rnacentral:tRNA from 1 species
AUUUAAAUAGUUUAACUAAAAUAUUGAUUUGUGGUAUCAAUGAUGUGAAUUAUUUCAUUUUAAAUC